AAUUAGAGAAGAGAGAGAGAGAGGGAAAGAAGAGAGCAGGAGGACAGGAAAUCAGAAGAGCUGCUGAAGUCAGCUUCUUCUCCCUAUCCUCCUCUUCCUUCACUUCCCUCUCACUUUUCAGC